ensembl:misc_RNA Metazoa_SRP Metazoan signal recognition particle RNA
GCCGGGCAUGGUGACUCAUGCCUGUAAUCCCAGCACUUUGGGAGGCUGAGGUGGGUGGAUCACUUGAGGUCAGGAGUUCGAGACCUGCCUGACCAACAUAGUGAAACCCCGUCUCUA